ACGGGAGGCAGCAGUGGGGAAUAUUGCACAAUGGGCGGAAGCCUGAUGCAGCGACGCCGCGUGGGGGAUGACGGCCUUCGGGUUGUAAACCCCUUUCGGCAGGGAACAAGCCGCUUCGGUGGUGAGGGUACCUGCGGAAGAAGCGCCGGCUAACUACGUGCCAGCAGCCGCGGUAAUACGUAGGGCGCGAGCGUUAUCCGGAAUUAUUGGGCGUAAAGAGCUCGUAGGCGGUUUGUCGCGUCUGCUGUGAAAGCCCGGGGCUCAACCCCGGGUCUGCAGUGGGUACGGGCAGGCUGGAGUGCAGUAGGGGAGACUGGAAUUCCUGGUGUAGCGGUGAAAUGCGCAGAUAUCAGGAGGAACACCGAUGGCGAAGGCAGGUCUCUGGGCUGUAACUGACGCUGAGGAGCGAAAGCAUGGGGAGCGAACAGGAUUAGAUACCCUGGUAGUCCAUGCCGUAAACGUUGGGCACUAGGUGUGGGGGCCAUUCCACGGUUUCCGCGCCGCAGCUAACGCAUUAAGUGCCCCGCCUGGGGAGUACGGCCGCAAGGCUAAAACUCAAAGGAAUUGACGGGGGCCCGCACAAGCGGCGGAGCAUGCGGAUUAAUUCGAUGCAACGCGAAGAACCUUACCAAGGCUUGACAUGUGCCGGACCGUCCCAGAGAUGGGGCUUCCCUUCGGGGCCGGUUCACAGGUGGUGCAUGGUU
rnacentral:rRNA from 1 species